rnacentral:rRNA from 1 species
UACGAAGGGGGGCUAGCGUUGCUCGGAAUCACUGGGCGUAAAGCGCACGUAGGCGGCUUUCUAAGUCAGGGGUGGAAAUCCUGGAGCUCAACGUCCAGAACUGCCUUCGAUACUGUCGAGCUUGAGACCGGAAGAGGUAAGUGGAACUGCGAGUGUAGAGGUGAAAUUCGUAGAUAUUCGCAAGAACACCAGUGGCGAAGGCGGCUUACUGGUCCGGUUCUGGACGCUGAGGCGCGAAAGCGUGGGGAGCAAACAGG